rnacentral:rRNA from 1 species
AGAGUUUGAUCAUGGCUCAGAUUGAACGCUGGCGGCAUGCCUUACACAUGCAAGUCGAGCGGCAGCGCGGGGGCAACCCUGGCGGCGAGCGGCGCACGGGUGAGUAAUGCAUCGGAACGUGUCCUCUUGUGGGGGAUAACCAGUCGAAAGACUGGCUAAUACCGCAUGAGCACGAGAGUGGAAAGCGGGGGACCGCAAGGCCUCGCGCGAGAGGAGCGGCCGAUGCCGGAUUAGCUAGUUGGUGGGGUAAUGGCCUACCAAGGCGACGAUCCGUAGCUGGUUUGAGAGAACGACCAGCCACACUGGGACUGAGACACGGCCCAGACUCCUACGGGAGGCAGCAGUGGGGGAAUUUUGGACAAUGGGGGCAACCCUGAUCCAGCCAUGCCGCGUGUGUGAAGAAGGCCUUCGGGUUGUAAAGCACUUUCGGCCGGAACGAAAUCGCGCGAUCUAACAAGUCGCGUGGAUGACGGUACCGGAAGAAGAAGCACCGGCUAACUACGUGCCAGCAGCCGCGGUAAUACGUAGGGUGCGAGCGUUAAUCGGAAUUACUGGGCGUAAAGUGUGCGCAGGCGGCCGAGCAAGUCGAGUGUGAAAGCCCCGAGCUUAACUUGGGAAUUGCGCUCGAAACUACUUGGCUGGAGUGUGGCAGAGGGAGGUGGAAUUCCACGUGUAGCGGUGAAAUGCGUAGAGAUGUGGAGGAACACCAAUGGCGAAGGCAGCCUCCUGGGCCAACACUGACGCUCAUGCACGAAAGCGUGGGGAGCAAACAGGAUUAGAUACCCUAGUAGUCC